rnacentral:rRNA from 1 species
AUUCCAGCUCCAAAAGUGUAUAUUUAAGUUGUUGCGGUUAAAAAGCUCGUAGUUGGAUUUUGGGCGCAGGCGGCCGGUCCGUCGCAAGGCGUGUACUGGCCGUCCUGGCCUCACCUCCGGUUCUCCGCCGGUGCCCUUGACUGAGUGUCGGCGGCGGCCGGAACGUUUACUUUGAAAAAAUUAGAGUGUUCAAAGCAGGCGAUUCGCCUGAAUAAUGGUGCAUGGAAUAAUGGAAUAGGACCUCGGUUCUAUUUUGUUGGUUUUCGGAGCGCGAGGUAAUGAUUAAGAGGGACAGACGGGGGCAUUCGUACUGUGCCGUUAGAGGUGAAAUUCUUGGAUCGGCGCAAGACGAACGACUGCGAAAGCAUUUGCCAAGAAUGUUUUCAUCA